GAUGAACGCUAGCGGGAGGCUUAACACAUGCAAGUCGAGGGGCAGCAUAGGGUAGCAAUACUCUGAUGGCGACCGGCAAACGGGUGAGUAACGCGUAUGCAACCUACCCUGUACAGGGGGAUAACCCGGAGAAAUUCGGACUAAUAUCCCGUAAUAAUAUCCGGAGGCAUCUUUGGAUAUUUAAAGUUUCGACGGUACGGGAUGGGCAUGCGUAACAUUAGCUGGUUGGUAAGGUAACGGCUUACCAAGGCUAUGAUGUUUAGGGGUCCUGAGAGGGUGGUCCCCCCACACUGGUACUGAGACACGGACCAGACUCCUACGGGAGGCAGCAGUGAGGAAUAUUGGUCAAUGGGCGCAAGCCUGAACCAGCCAUCCCGCGUGCAGGAAGACGGCCCUAUGGGUUGUAAACUGCUUUUCCAGGGAGAGAAACUUACGCACGUGUUGCGUGACUGACGGUACCCUGGGAAUAAGCAUCGGCUAACUCCGUG
rnacentral:rRNA from 1 species